rnacentral:misc_RNA from 1 species
GUAACUCAAAGUUCCACUAAAAAUGCCCUCAAUCCGCAAGAUCUUGUCCCCAGUUUCAAGAAGUCCACGUAAGGUGCUAAUGAUUGGUAGACCAGCUCCAACAGUAGCUUCAUAGAAGUAAUGAGUGUAUGAUUGCCGCUGUAGAGCUCUCAGCUUCAAGUACUGGUCUAGUGGUCCUGAAUUAGCCUUUUUAUUCGGGGUGACAACAUGUAUUCCUCUAUGCAACCAGCCAAAGUAGUGGCUUGCGACAUCAGAGUCGGCAGUGCAAUCCACCAUUACAGUGUUUGGGAUAAAAUGAUUGCCACGUACAUGGUGAACAAACUUAUUCAUGUCGGCCAUUUCUCCUUUUACACUUAGCAGCUGUCUCCAUCUUGACAAGUCAAUACCCGACUCGCUCAGUAGCAUUGUCCUCGUUCCAGUUAUACCCAUCACACGUAAGUCAAUGUUAAAUUUCUCCUUUAAGACGGCUGUCUGAUCCUUUAAUUGGUCAAGCAAUGUGCCUCCAAUCAAUCCAGGUCCAACAAUGCCCACAGCAAUUAUUGUUCUUGACAAAUAAAAUUUUGAGUGCACAGCACGUAAGGCUCUUACACAAUCUUCUCGCUUAACAACUACUGUAAUGUUGUACUCUGUGCAACCUUGAGCUAUAGCACGGAUGUUGAUAUUAGCCUUUGCAAGUGCAGUGAAAAGUGUAGCACUAACUCCAGGAGUGCUAGCCAUUCUCUGACCAACAGCUGCCAAAAUGCUACAGUUCGGAAUUACUGCAAUCUGAGAAAGCCGUCCGGCACUCAAAGCCUGACCAAACCUAGACUCCAAAACAUCCGCAACGGCUUUCACCUCUUUCUCAGGCACAGCAAAGCACACUGAAUGCUCACUGCUAGCCUGGGAUAUCAUGAUUACAUUAGCACCAACGUCUUUUACUGCACUAAAAAUGGCGCUAGCAGUACCAGGAACACCAGCCAUUCCGGUU